CAGACGGACACCAAUCAAGUCCAGGAUCUGCAUAGGGUCAUACCAGGCCUUCUGGACGCCAUGCUGGGGAACCUGCUGGCAAAGACCCCAGACACUGACAAGCUCCACUACAUCUUGGAGCACAUUAACUACUGGACCGUGUCCAGGGUGCCACAAGAGAGAGCCAGGGCCAUCC